CACACACACACGCACGCACGCACGCACGCACACACACACACGCACACACACACACGCACACACACGCACACACACACACGCACACACACACACACACACAUAUACACACACACACAUAUAUACACACACACACACACACACACAACUAUUACUGCAUUCAUGAAUGUGUCUGUAUGUAUAAGGGUGUUCGUGUGUCAGUAUUUGUGGUGGUGAGAGUGUGUCUGUUUGUAUAACAUUGUGAGUGUGUGUGUGAGUGUUUGUUUAAGUCUUGGGGGUGCGGAGAGUGUUUUGUCUAGGGGUGUGUGUGUGUGUGUGUGUCAGUCUUUGGGGUGGGGAGAGUGUUUUGUCUAGGGGUGUGUGUGUGUGUGUGUGUCAGUCUUUGGGGUGGGGAGAGUGUUUUGUCUAGGGGUGUGUGUGAGUGCGUGUGUCAGUCUUUGGGAUGGGGAGAGUGUUUUGUCUAGGGGUGUGUGUGAGUGUGUGUGUCAGUCUUUGGGGUGGGGAGAGUGUUUUGUCUAGGGGUGUGUGUGAGUGCGUGUGUCAGUCUUUGGGAUGGGGAGAGUGUUUUGUCUAGGGGUGUGUGUGAGUGUGUGUGUCAGUCUUGGAGGUGGGGAGAGUGUGUGUUCGUCCUCCCAGAUCAGGGAACAUGCUCAUUGUUGUAAGAAUCUGUGGGACGAGGGGACUAUUUUACAACCACGUUAAAUUGGUUCACCUCCAUCCCUCCCACAAUGACCUGUUCUCUAUCGCUCUCAUUCUCUCUCUCUCUCCCCCACACACACCCCACCAUUCCUGAACACUGCUAGCCCUGGGAGUGUGUGUGUGGAGUCACCUUGAGGAGGGUUCCAUACGAGUAGAGAGAGUCAAUCUCAGAGAAAUGAAAGAAGAACAUGUCCUUAAAGACAUUUUUCAGGGUGUUUGGAAGAAAGAGAUGGAGAGAAAUGUGAGCGCUAUCAACCCAAACCCACAGUCAAUGGGGAACACUUGGAGAUUAGUAGUGACCUCUUGACACAAAGUGAAUGAAGAGUUUGGUCUGAUUGUUAACAUGCCAUACUGGUUCUCCACCACCAGGCCUUACUGACUUUGCACCUACACAUUUAACUGAAAAAGAGAGUGAUAGUGGGUGUGUGUGUGUGUGUGUGUGUGUGGUGGAGGAGUGGGGGCUGUAGAUACUGUGUAAAUUGUUGGGAUCAGAGUAUGGCCUAUUUGUCAGAAGAUAUAACAGAUAUGCUCUGGAAUCAACAUCUUCUAACUGCAUCAAGGAUGUGGAUAUGUUGACAUUAAUGAUUGCUACUGAAUCUCACCAUUUGUCCUCAUAUUGUGUCCAACAACCAGGUUUCCCUUCAGUUCUGAGCCAUUCACGACAUGAUCACUCAUCUCAAGAUGUCAGUGUUAAAAGAUGCACUCAUCCCCAACUUUUGUGCACCAUAAAAAAAACGCUAUUGUAAGUAAAACAUGACUAUCAUAUUCAGUCAUUUAAAUGACAUGGAAUGGGUUUGUAAAUGCUUAUAAUAAUAUUUUCCUCCCAAUAGGCUCAUAUGCAAAUCUAAAACAUUACAGGCUAAUGAUGUAUAAGACACAUGCUUCACUUCAGUUGAUUGACAGUUGACUAUGUGGCAGUGGACAGGUUACAUCUUGUUUCCACUACUUGUCAAUGCAUAAACCUGGGAACACCUGGGAACUUCCAUCCUGAAGGGCUGAAAGACAUAUCUUCUACCUGGUAGGUAUUCAUCCUCACCAGGUGUCUCAGGUCUGAAUUAGAAGGACAGGGUGAAGACCAGAAGGGUUUGUCCCUCCAGGUUGGGACAUCCCAACUAUCGGCCAAUGCUGACAAAGCCUUUUAUGAUUCCACUCACUGAGUGGAUAACAGGGGCUCCCCCUUAAAACUUUCAAUGCCUAUUAGUUUGAUAGUCUGUAAUUUUUCAGCAUUGUCCAAUGGCCCUAGGUUUUUACCAGCUCUUGUGUGUGUUUUCCUGGUGUCUUUGAUUAAUGGGUCAUUUAAUGGGUCAUUUGACGGCUUGUCAUUUGACGGCGUGUGUGAGUUUGUUAAUCAUAUCCACAGGCUAAACAUUAUUCUGUCAUACAUCUGGAUUUCUCCAUUAUUGUAGAAAUAUGGCGUGAACCUAUCAUAUGUGUGUACUGCAAACACUAUUCAAUUGUAAGCUGACGUGUGUAGACAAAAUCAGGCCAGCCCUGAUGAUUAUUGUUUCUUGCCAGCUUUGCUGUUCUAAGAAGAUGAGAGAAAUUAGUCUUUUAAGAACCAAUGGUUUUGCGAAGCAUGUCGAUCUGGUUGGUGCACAUUCGGUAAGGGGUUAUGGUAAGGGUUAUGGUAAGGGUUAUGGUAAGGGGUUAUGGUAAGGGGUUAUGGUAAGGGUUAUGGUAAGGGUUAUGGUAAGGGUUAUGGUAAGGGUUAUGGUAAGGGGUUAUGGUAAGGGGUUAUGGUAAGGGUUAUGGUAAGGGGUUAUGGUAAGGGGUUAUGGUUAGCCUAAGUUAACUAAUGUUAUUAUCUAAUGUUAUUAUUAUAUCAGUGUUCAGUCAGACUACCUUUUAAAGGUAACGCAUAACGUAACGCGUUAGUUUUAAAUAAUCCCUUACUAGUUACUUUUUAAAUAAAGUUACUUAAUUAACCGCAGUGCAACCAACUUAGCUUCAUGUACAGUAGUGUUAUUAUCUCCAGUAGCAAGUGGCAACAAAGGACACAAAUAUAGCAGCAGGAGUUCUCCCAGAUGAAGGGCAUGAUAGACCAAACCACCGCCCAGCUCCCGUUCAUUUCAAAUCAAUACGUAGUGUCCACAAGCGACUUCUGCAGUGAAAGGCUUGGCUGCACAAUUCAAGGUUGGGAAGCACUUUAUUAUUUUGACUACGUCAUUAUAACCCUCAUCUAUAAC
ensembl:lncRNA